UUUUCGUAGGUGAACCUGCGGAAGGAUCAUUAUUGUAUAACCGAGGUGCGAGGGCUGUCGCUGACCCGAAAGGUCGUGCACGCCCGAGUGCCCUCACACACAUCCAUCUCACCCCUAUGUGCACCACCGCGUGGGUCCCCCUUUGGCUUGUUCGGAGGGGGGCUUACGUUUUCACACAAACUUUGUAUGCAGUGUAGAAUGUAUUUUUUGUUUUUGCGAUCACGCAAUCAAUACAACUUUCAACAACGGAUCUCUUGGCUCUCGCAUCGAUGAGGAAC
rnacentral:misc_RNA from 1 species